GAUUAACGCUAGCGGCAGGCAUAAUACAUGCAAGUUGAACGGCAGCACAGGUAGCAAUACUGGGUGGCGAGUGGCGCACGGGUGCGUAACACGUAUGCAACCUACCCUAUACAGGCGAAUAACCUUUAGAAAUGAGGGCUAAUACGCCGUAGUAUUACAGAUGGGCAUCUAUUUGUAAUUAAAGAUUUAUCGGUAUAGGAUGGGCAUGCGUCCCAUUAGUUAGUUGGUAAGGUAACGGCUUACCAAGACGAUGAUGGGUAGGGGAUCUGAGAGGACUUACCCCCACACUGGUACUGAGCCACGGACCAGACUCCUACGGGAGGCAGCAGUAAGGAAUAUUGGGCAAUGGCCGCGAGGCUGACCCAGCCAUGCCGCGUGCAGGAAGACGGCCUUAUGGGUUGUAAACUGCUUUUAUACGGGAAUAAUAGAGUGUACGCGUACAUUUAUGCAAGUAUCGUAUGAAUAAGCAUCGGCUAACUCCGUG
rnacentral:rRNA from 1 species